CCUCCUACGGGACGCAGCAGUAGGGAAUUUUCGGCAAUGGGGGGAACCCUGACCGAGCAACGCCGCGUGAAGGAAGAAGGCUUUCGGGUUGUAAACUUCUUUUAAGAGGGAAGAGAAGAAGACGGUACCUCUUGAAUAAGCCACGGCUAACUACGUGCCAGCAGCCGCGGUAAUACGUAGGUGGCAAGCGUUGUCCGGAUUUACUGGGUGUAAAGGGCGUGCAGCCGGGCUGACAAGUCAGAUGUGAAAUCCCGCGGCUCAACCGCGGAACUGCAUUUGAAACUGUCAGUCUUGAGUACCGGAGG
rnacentral:rRNA from 1 species